rnacentral:rRNA from 1 species
GAUGAACGCUGGCGGCGUGCCUAAUACAUGCAAGUCGAGCGAACAGACCAGGCUCUUGCUCCUCUGACGUUAGCGGCGGACGGGUGUGUAACAUGUGUAUAACCUCCCUAUCUGACUGGUAUAACCUCGGGAAACCGGAUCUAAUACCGGAUAAUAUAUUGCACCGCAUGGUUCAAUAGUGAAAGACGGCUUUGCUGUCACUUAUAGAUGGAUCGUCGCCGCAUUAGCUAGUUGUUAGGGUAAAGGCCUACCAAGGCAACUAUGCGUAGCCGAACUGAGAGAGUGGUCGGCCACACGGGAAGGGGAACAAGGACAAGACUACUAAGGGAGGCAGCAGUAGGGAAUGUGCCGCAAUGGGCGGAAGCCUGACAGAACGAGGGGACGUGAGUGGUGGAAAUGUUCGGAUCGGAAAACUCUGUUAUUGGGGAAAAACAAAUGUGGAAGUAACUAUGCAGGGAUUGACGGUACCUGAUAAGAAAGCCACGGCUAACUACGUG